AACGUGUAUGUUGUUGUUUUGGUCGAGUGUUUUGGUCUGUUUUAGAUUUUGAAUUAUUUUUUUCUUUCAAUUCAUACGUUUUUUUAGGUAUUGUAGCAUAGAAUGAUCUUAUUCUGAUAAUGAUCAAAUUCUAACGUUCCAUUUGUGACAACAGGACCACCGAAAAACGGAAGGUCGACCCGAUAGUUUCACCGCUGUUCGAAGAUGACGACGUAUGCUGGAUUUUAAGAAAGCCAGAUCUUUCAUUGAGCUGUUUAAGAAAGCAAAUGUGACGGGAAAAUUCUCCAAAUGUCGACUUUUUCAUCACUGAUUCGUCACUUUAGGCCAAUUGUACCAAUCGUGGCCUUCAACAUCAUGCCGCAAGUCUUCUCGUGUAAAAUGUUCAACUAUUCUAUGAGCGACACACUCUCGGCAAUCCUUAGCAAGACUUAUGACGAGCAGUACGGUGGCAAUGCCCGACAUCGAAUCCGUAACGCUGCGGAGCUCGACAGAUCAGAUCGUCGAACAUUGUCAACCUGUUGGACCGACCUCUCGAAUGCCGUCUAAGCGGCUCAAGGUGAUUGCCGACUCUAAAUCCCCUAGGACGUUCAA